GACGUAGGGCGCGAGCGUUGUCCGGAUUUAUUGGGCGUAAAGAGCUCGUAGGCGGCUUGUCGCGUCGAAUGUGAAAUCUCGGGGCUCAACUCCGAGCUCGCAUUCGAUACGGGCAGGCUAGAGUUCGGUAGGGGAGACUGGAAUUCCUGGUGUAGCGGUGGAAAUGCGCAGAUAUCAGGAGGAACACCGGUGGCGAAGGCGGGUCUCUGGGCCGAUGACUGACGCUGGAGGGAGCGAAAAGCGUGGGGAGCGAACAGGA
rnacentral:rRNA from 1 species